GGGGGCUGAAAUGAACUCUGUGAGGAUUCUUAGCUUUGGUGGUUUAAUGCUCUAUUUUUGUGCUUGUUGGCCUCCUGCCAGGUGGCGGCGCUUUCCGGAGAGCAUCAGCUGUGGUAACAUGGAGAGAAACCAGAGAGUGGGUGGGGCUUUAGAACUUCCAAGACAGAGGCUCUGGAAGCCUCUGUCUUCAGCUACCAGAGUGGGUAGGGAAGGACCAUCAAGUGGGGGCAGGGCUAGGUGUGUCUGAGCUCAGACUCUCCUUGGGUGAGUCUUGCUGUGGCUGCUGUGGGGGAGGGGGGGGUGAGGUUCCCAGGUGAAUAGAGUUGUGUACCUAGGAGGAUAAUGGCUGCCUCUGCUGAGUCAUGCAGGUUGUUAGGGAAGUGAGGGAAAGCUGGCAGUCACAGGCCUCACCCAGCUCCCAUGCAAUCCAAAUGGCCAGUCUCACUCUCACCAUGCCCCCUCUAAAGCAUUGAGUCUGUUUCCAAGCAGUGGGUAAGCAGGGGUGAGAACUUGCCGCAGGCUACCCACCUCCCAGCUGUGAAAGAAAAGGGCUUUCGUUCUUCCCCCACCUGUGGAGUCUACACGCUGGAUUUGUGCCCUCCCUUGAGUUCUGGCCAGGAGGCUUCUCCACCUGUUCAAAUUGUUAUAAAGUUCAGCUGGAGACUUCCUUCUCUCCGUGGCAUUUUCCUCAUGCCUCUGGCCACCCUCCCAAAGGAUCCCUGUGAGGCCAGGCAGGAAUGGCCUGCUUGGGGACCCAGCAAGCUUCUAGGGCCUUUGCUGCUGCUUCCUCUACCCCUGUAUUUCGCUCGGCUCUCUAAAUGGACUCAGCUCCAGAUGAGGAAACGGAGAUUCACAAAAAUCAGGUCAUUUGUCUGAGGUCCGAGUACUGUGUGAUAGAGCAAAGAUUUGAACCCAGCUGGAAAAAUCUGAAAUCCUCUGUUAGUAAGGUUAGAAUGAGCGGACACCCUGAACUGUGAAGAGCAUAUUGGACUGGAUGUCCAGGGACCUGGGCUCUAUUUCUCACGCUGACAUGUGAUCCUAGACCCAUCACUUUCAUCUUCUAACUACCUAAGAUCGGAACCCUCUGAUAAUUUGUGCUGCUAUUUUAAGAUCCAGUUCCAUUCUACAACUGGCUGAAGCAUGAAGUCAACUAAAAUAAACUGAAUUGAGUGGAACUGAACUGAACUGAAGUGAAAUAAUGUGAUUUCCAGUAAACCUGACACCUUAAGGACAGAACAUGAGCCUUGCCCAUCUUCCUCCCAGAGGUCCCAGCACAAUCACCGACUCACACAAUACUCUCAGUGCAUGAGUGAUGAAUUUCACUAACAGCGACCCAUCUCUCUACAUAAUCCACUCCGGUUUCACCAGAGCUGAGAGUAUCAUGAAUUACAUCUAUAGAUAGCUGUAAGCUAAUGACCAAAGCACAUAACUGAAUUCAAACAUAUUCUUUAUUGCAGUCAGAUGUGAGAAAACAAAAUUUAGAAGACAAGCCAGAAAGGAAAUGAAGAACAUAAAGAGCCUGAAUUCUCAUCGUCAAUUUUUCCCUGACUGACUCCGUUUUCCUCUCUUCUUUCCAUUUACCUUUCUGUUCCCAUCCCCAUCAUUUUUGUAGUGUUUAUUGAGUGUCUGCUGCAUGCCAGUCAAUGUGCUGAGUACUUUUCAUGUGUUAUACCAUUUGAUCGUCACAGCAGCACACUAUUAUAAUUAUGAAUAUGAUUCCACAUACUAUAUCUAAAAUUUAACUUAAUUUUACAUAGGAGGAAGCUGAGACUUGCCCAAGACUACUCCAUUAGUAAGAUGUGAACCAAGUGAACCAUGUCUGACUCAAACCUAACCCCUGAUUCUCUGAAUCCAUAUCACCGUAGAACUCAACAGUGAAAUAUUGGGGUAGAGGUAAUGCUAUUAGUACACAAACUAUGCACAGAUUUACAAGCAACUAAACAGGAACUCAUGGCCAGGCACAAUGGUUCAUGCCUGUAAUUCCAGCACUUUGGGAGGCCAAGGUGGGCAGAUCACCUGAAAUCAGGAGUUCAAGAUCAGUGUGGCCAACAUGACAAAACCCCAUCUCUACUAAAAAUACAAAAAUUAGCUGGGUGUGGUGGCACAUGCCUGUAAUCCCAGCUACUCAGCAGGCUAAGGCAGGAGAAUUGCUUGAACCUGGGAAGGAGAGGUUGCAGUGAGCCGAGAUCACAUCACUGCACUCCAGCCUGGGUGACAGAGCAAAACUCUAUCUUAAAUGAAUAAAUAAAUAAAAAUGAAAAAAACAAACAAAUGAAAGAAAGUCACGAGCACAACUUCUGACUCCCCCUCCAUCUUUUCCAUUGUUCCCUGUCUCUCUGCUUAAAAACAAUCCGAGUGACUCUCACUUUUUCCUUGUGUCUCCCACCCAUCUACCCUACUCUUGCUCUACACAGUUAAGGAUUGUUUUGAAAUUCUAUGGGGAAAAAUUAUAAAAUUUAUAAUCCCAAAGAGUCCAUCCAAUUGUCUGUAACAAGAUUUAAAGCUUAGUAUUAUCUCAACCCAAAAUUUGACAAAUGACAGUUUCCUUGUUGCUUGUACACACGUCACUCCAACAGCUGAAAAGCCAGGAUAGAUGUUUGCCAGUAACUUCCUUGCAGAGGCCUUAAUAAACUUAAGCAUGAUAUAUACCAAUAACCUAAUAAAUAUAUUGAGGGUUUCUUCUUAGCCAUAUCCUUGAUAUAAAGUGACAUCUGAGUUUUAUGACGUUUAAGGUUUUUGCCUUUUCUUCUGUCUUGGUGGCUAUUAACUGAGCACAUUUCUAUUUGUGAAUCAUAAGCUAAUGUAUUUACAUUUAGGAACAGAAAAUCAUGUCACUUGAUAAGUAUGCAGGUGUCAUAAGCUCCAGAGCACCAGCAAAAGAUGCAGGUGCUGACCACUUUGUUUCAUGUCAAAAUUCACUGUCUGAAGAUGCUCUGUGACCAUGAGGCUCAUCAAACACUCAACAUUCAAAAGAACUCUUACCACAUUCACACAGCAAAUCAGCAAAUCAUUUUUAAUCAUAAAUCAUCUUUGUUUGAAAACAAUUUACUCACUUGAAUUCUAGGUAACAUUCUAGGUUAUGUGUUCAUUUAGAUGUUCUUCUUUUCCAUGGAAAUCAAUUAAAAACAAAUGCACCAUCUUGGGAGAUGAGCUUAAAAGAUUAAUGUCAGACUUUUUGAAAAAACAAUUACUUGGGCAGAAUUAUGAAUGAACAACGUGUGACGUUUUUGUCAUUUUUUUUUUUUGGUUCUUUUAUUCUGCAUAUUUCAGUUUGGCUUUUAAUUUCAUCAAAAUUAUAGAUGCACAUAAUUCUUUUAAGCAUAGUAGGAAGACCAUGGGCUUCCUAAUGUGCUUAAAACAGGGUCCUCACACCUUGUCCAAUAUAUCCGAGAUUUCUCCCCUUUCUAGAGAAAACUACUUUAAAUUCUGAUAGAUUUUUUGUUGCUGUUGCUCAUAGUUACUUCCAUAACUCUAAAUAGCUCAUGCUGUUACUUUUAAUAUUUCUAUUUUGAGGCUAUCUAAUGGGUUCUCUCUAUGGAAAAUCAAGAUUCACUCUCAUUCACUCUCCCUCAACCUGACUGACCCCCAAGUAUCAUCUUCAUUAGUUUAGUUAGAUUACUAUACAGUAUUUACCUUAUUAUAGUUAGGUCAAUGCUGGGUCACAUAUUAAUCUAUAAUAACUUUUCCUUUUUAUGAGCAAUAUUUUGGUUUUACUUGAAGUUAAUCAUCACACUUGUGUUUGCUUAGUUGUGCAAAUGUCUGUCACUAACUUUGCAAACUUUUCCUCCAGUGUCUAAGCUUCACACAUGAGCUAAUUUUAUUGAUUGCAUCUUUAUUUCAUCUCUGGUGACAUCUGACCUGUUCUAGUCUGGACAGGUUUCUUCCCAGUCCCCAGCUGGCUCUUUCUUAACCACCAACUUGGGUUUGGAUUUCCUAUAACUGGAUCCUGUGUCUUUAUUGCUAGUUUAGUUCAUAGUUUUGGUGGAGCAUAUUCUCAAGACCAUCCAUGUGUGGAGAACUAAUUUGACAAAGACUUGAUGUGAACAUGUCUCUAUUUUCUAAUGUAAAUCAUUUUCCCUUGGGAUAUCAAAAGUUUACUGCAUUGACUUCUUCCCUCUAGUAUUGUUUUUGAGGCAUCUAAAGCCAAUCUGAUUCCUGAUCCUUCAGAAGAACCUCCUGCUGCUUUGGGGAGAAGGAGGUUCCUCUACCUGGUAGCUUUUGGGUACUCCUCUUUGCCCCCAUGGCUGAAAUUCACAAUGAAGUGCUUGGUGUGGUUUUAUUUUUAUAGGUUAUGCUGUACACUCAAUAGGUCCUUAUAUAGGAAAAAAACAAAAAAUAAAUAACAAAAAAAACAACAACACUGUUUUCUUCUUGAUACGUCACUUUCAAUGCAUCUGACAAGAGACAGGGGAGGAGUGUUACCACACCAAGCAAUUCUCCACUUCUUGGCAGACACCAACUGGGUGCCCCCCAGUUCAAUUCAACUCUGACACUAACAGAAUCAAUGUAGGCCCCAAAGUUUAAAGGUUCAGUCCCACAAGACUGCCCCACACUUUGCAGGCCAGUUGCAAACAGUAGGUUCCCAGAUUACCCACAACUUCUGUCCUACUUGGCUACAAACCAGAGUUUCCCACACCCAACUCUGUGGGUUUGACAAUUUGCUAGAGUGGCUUAUAGAACUCAGAAAAGCACUUUGCUGUUAUCAGUUUAUUAUAAAAAGAUACAGCUCAGUAACAGCCAGAUGAAGAGAUGCCUAAGUUAAGAUAUGAGGGAAGGGGCACGCAGGCUCCAUGCCCUCCAUGGGUGAGCCACCCUUCCAGGACCCCCACACGUUGAGAAAUCUGGAAGCUCCCCAAACACAGUCUUCUUGGGGUUUUAUGGAGGCUCCAUUUAGCAGGCAGGAUUGAUUAAAUCAUUGGCUGUUUGUGAUGUUCAUCUCCAGCCCUCUCUCCACUGGUGGAAGGUUGAAGGGUGUGGCUGGAUGUUCCAACCCUCUAAUCAUUUGCUUAGUUCCUCUGACAAGCAGCCUCGUCCAGUGCCUGUCCAGGAGUCUCCAGCCACCAGUCAUCUCAUUAGCAUACUAAAAGAUGCUUAUCAUGUCAGAGGUUCCAAGGGUUUUAGGAGCUACAUGCCAUAAAAUCAAAUAUUUAGUGGAAGACUAAUAUGGUUUGGCUAUGUCCCCACCAAAAUUUCAUCUUGAAUUGUAGCUCCCAUAAUUCCCACGUGUCAUGGGAGAGACCAGGUGGGAGGUAAUUUAAUCAUGGGGGCAGGUCUUUCCCAUGCUGUUCUCAUGAUAGCGAAUAAGUCCCAUGAGAUCUGAUGGUUUUAUAAAUGGGAGCUCUUCUGCACAAACUCUCGUCUGCCACCAUGUAAGAUGUCACUUUGCUCUUCCUUCAUCUUCUACCAUGAUUGUGAGGCCUCCCCAGCCAUGUGGAAUUGUGAAUCCAUUAAUCUUCUUUCCUUUAUAAAUUACCCAAUCUCAAGUAUGUCUGUAUUAGCAGCAUGAGAACAGACUAAUACAAAGACCAAAAUAUAUAUUUCUUAUUAUAUCACAGUAGCACAGCCCUCUUAAUGUACAAACUCAUUUUCUACAAUUCUGGCUAAUUUCUUGAAUUUUUUUUCUCUAAUAAUUUCUUUUCUCUCUUCUUUUUCCUGUUAUUCAGAUGGAUGUACCUGCUUCUUGAGCUGAAUUCUCACCAAUCCCUCAUUUCUGGUCAUUCUUAACCUUACUCCCAGAUGUGUUUGGUCUACUGCAGCCUUCGGAUCCCUACUAGAGUUUGCCUUAGGAAUCAGCUUUCUCAGACCUGUGUCUGAGAUAAAAUGUCUGGGAUAAAAUGUCAUUUAUCCUGCUUCCUGGAUUCUGAAAUUUGAUGAUUCUGUUCUCCUCUUUCAUCUCUUCUUUCUUAAACCCUUUUUUUUAAAAAAAAAUCCUGUAACUGUCAUUUACUGGAACUUCAGAGAGAAGCAGAGGUUAAUACCUAUGUUCAAUGGAUACAGGAGAUAAAAAGAAAUUAUUUAGGCAGUUAAUGAGGGUAAGAGAGUUCUUGGCAAGGCUUCCCUUUUAACACAAGCAACCCGCCAAAUCAUUUCUUUUCUAACAAAGAGCAGCCGGUAAAAUCAAGCCACAGACACAGAUAAGCAAGCUAGAAGCUUUCACAGGUAAAUGUGGCAACUGUGCCAAUAGAAACACACUACCUAAGGGCCAGGUAUGUUCAACAUGGAGGUUCCCUCUUCCCUUUUGUGGCUACAUAAGUGGUAAAAAAGCAUGGAGCCAGCCAGGUAGAGGCCUCAUCUGCAUAAUAAAAGAUUAGGGUGAGAUGUCCAGCUUCUUCACGCCCUAUGCAAACAGCACACCUGGUCUGACUAAUCUCUUGAUCCCUAUGUAAAUGAGACACCGCCUCCUCAAGCUCCUCUAUGAAAUCCCUUGCAUUUCAGUAGGAAACCAGAAGACCCACUUGGGAGCCCCAUGCUCUCUCUGCAGGAAAGAGAGCUUUUCUUGUCUCUUUUCUCUCGCCUAUUAAACCUCAGCUCUUCAACUCACUUCUUGUGUGUCUGUGUCCUUGAUUUCCUUAGUGUGAGACAACGAACCUCAGAUAUUUACCACAGACAACGUAGCCACUUCACAAUCUUGCAAAUUUUCACCAAGUCCUUUUCAUUAUUAUGUAAGGAGUUGGAACUGACUGAUGAGGGUUUGAUUGUGAUUGCCUCUAGCUCUCCCUGAUAGCAUUUGGAUGAGCUGGACAGAUGUAGGAUUAACAAAGGUCUGUAGGGUGGAGCAAAUAUGUCUCAUUACCAAGGGUAAAAUUUCAAGUGAAGAGGCUCCCAUACUAGAGCAACCACAACAAAACAAAUAACCAUGGAUUUGGGACUGAACACUAGGAAAGAGUGAAUAUAUGUUUUUGAGGUCAGCUGUGCUGAAGGCAAGAGAAGAACAUUGCCAAGUAACUUCCAAAUGUGACAUUUUUCAACCUUGGUUUAUGACUGAAAAGCCAAGAAAGACUAAGCUAAAAUGGAAUUCAGCUUCCCAGCCUAAAUAGUGGGAGAGGUCCAAAAUACAGCUAAGGAAAAUUUUACUGGGAAAGCUAGUUGUAUCCAUUUACUCUGUUCUACACAUAUCAAUUAGAAAUUUUAAAAAGGUAAGUUUGAUCAAGCUUUUAUUCCGACAUUUGAAAA
rnacentral:lncRNA from 1 species